rnacentral:piRNA from 1 species
UAAAAAUCUUUACUUAUUCUUCUGGUGGCA